rnacentral:rRNA from 1 species
GCAACUCGACUGCAUGAAGCCGGAAUCGCUAGUAAUCGCGGAUCAGAAUGCCGCGGUGAAUACGUUCCCGGGUCUUGUACACACCGCCCGUCACACCAUGGGAGUCGGAAAUGCCCGAAGCCGGUGGCCUAACCGAUAAGGGAGGAGCCGUCGAAGGCAGGUCUGAUGACUGGGGUGAAGUCGUAACAAGGUAGC